rnacentral:sRNA from 18 species
AACAAAAGAAAUUAAGCGUUUUCAAAAAAAGAGAAAUGGGGAAUGAGAGAUGGGAACGAUUGUUUGCCAAGACUGUAACGAAGCCAUUCAUUACUUUGAGGAUGAGAAGGUUACAACGUUUUAUGGAACGUGCUGCGGACAAUGUCAGUGUCAUCUUGAAGAAGAAUAAUAAAAGCAUGCGGUGUAAAAGCCGCAUGCUUUUUU